CCCCCAUCUAAAAAACUCUCGAUCCCCAUUCAUAAAUCAAAUCUUAACCCUAGCAACAGGACCAACGCGCCGCCGGAAAUCAGGUCGUCGAGCGAGAGCUAUUCGCGAUUCCUUCCCUCGACAUGGCUUCCACUUUCCGGGGAUCUCCGCAGGCUUCUUGAUGGCGCGGCGCCUAUCUCUUGCGAGGCUAUCUGGCGCUCUUCAGGCCCUUUCUGAUCGGCGACCACGAACUGAACGAUGCGGCAACGCGGGGCAAGGAAACGGAGUGCAGCAGCAAGGUGAAACACAUGGGGAACGUCGGACCAGGGGCAAUCCAGUUCAUGUUUUCCUGCAUCGUUGAAGAGAUCAAUCGCUAUUGAUUACAUGUAUACGUUAGCCCUGGAUACUCCUGGUGCAUACUGCAUAGACCAGAUCACCCACAUUCAAUUGGGCAAAGGAAUUUUGCAAUCAGGUCACUGAGUUUUUUGAAUGUACAGGUAUUUUUUUCAUCUUUAGGUUGCCAUCUUUUCUUGAUAAAAUUCGAAAAUGCAUAUAGUUUCAUGCUUGAGGUACAAUUCGGAUCACCUUAUAUUUCUAGGAUAUAUAUGUGUACAGAAUAAGAUUUUCAAAUUGCGGCCAUGAGCCCAUGAUGAGCAUUUUUAUGUUGUUGAAAUGAUUCCACUGACGGUGCUGACCACAUGUAAGUUUCCCUCCUCCCCUGUUUCCUCCAAUUCCUAUAAUUAAAAUUUGGCCUUUUGUAUUUUUUCUU